UACGAGGGGGGCGAGCGUUGUUCGGAAUUAUUGGGCGUAAAGGGUGCGUAGGCGGUUUGGUAAGUCUUGUGUGAAAUCUACAGGCUCAACUUGUAGUCUGCACGAGAAACUGCCGGGCUUGAGUGUGGGAGAGGUGAGUGGAAUUCCUGGUGUAGCGGUGAAAUGCGCAGAUAUCAGGAGGAACACCGGUGGCGAAGGCGGGUCUCUGGGCCGAUACUGACACUGAGGAGCGAAAGCGUGGGGAGCGAACAGG
rnacentral:rRNA from 1 species